CAGGAAGUGGAGACAAGGUGACAUGCCCCAGGAAGGGAGGUUGUGGAAUCUCCAUCACUGGAGAUAUUUAAAAGCAGCCUGCUCUCCCUGCUUGUGCACAGCUGUUCUUGCCGGUAAGAGCCGAGCUCUCCAGUCCUCCUUCUGCAAACGGCGGCAGCUCCUUCGAUGAAAUAAAAACCCCGAAUCCGACCGGUGAUUACGGAAUCCACCGUGGAGAGCGCUCAGCCCUGGCCCGACUCAAACAGCAAGGGCAACGCCUGUGACAGCCGACGACCUUUGUAACAAGCAGAGACAGGAGCCAGAAAAAACGGACUGUCCGGGUGAAAACCGGACACCUGGCAACCCUAAAAGCAGCAGCCGACACUUACUCGGCCAGCCGUGGGCAUGGGAUCUAAGCACCUCUUCACAACUCCCUGGGAGGCAGGGAAGCGCCGUUGUGCAGAGGGGGAACUGAGGCACGGAGCCUAAAUGUCUAAGAGGGCUCUGACGGGGAGACAGGAAUUGAACCCACAUCGCCAGUGAAGGUCCUAGCCAAUGGAGGAGCAGCCGGGGGUGGGGGGCAAGCCCCAGUCACGUCUGAACUCUGCACCGGCCAGAUUCCAGCCACUGCUUGUCUCCAGCGCCACACACUGCUCCGUGCCCAAGCUAGCGCCUGCCCAGCUGAGACGAUUGCCCUGGAUUUGUAGCAGUCCAGGAGAGGAGGGUGUCGCCCUGCGGGUCUCCUUUCGCACGGCCAAUUGCUCCACAGAAACGAGCUGCUUGGCCCUUGGUCAUUCUCCUGACAGUCUCCCGCUGCGCUGGCCCCGACGGGCGUGCCAGUGUGGAACCACCGCUGAGGUGGUGUUGUCUUAGCCCGCUUGCAGCACCUCUCGCUGGCCCAGCGCUAAGCAGCUCUCCUCCUCUGACCCGCCCGGAGGAGCAGGCCUGGGGCUAUGCCCUGGGGGAAGGGGAGAGCUUCAGAAGGUUAUCAAUGAAUAGAGUUGCCAAGUGUCUGGUAUUUUACCGGUAUUUGUGCUCUUUGUCCGGUAAAAAAAAUCAGAGAAUACCAGACAUGUGCGAUGUGCGAUGUGCGGUAUUCUCUGAUUUUUCCAGCUGCGCACCGGAUGGGAGCCUGUGAUUGUGCAGAAGCCUGGCGGGGGCGGGGAAAGCAGCUGGAAGGCGGGGCCACGGUCGGUGCUAGGAGGCUGUGAUUGCCCAGAAGCCUGGCAGGGAUGGGGCAGUGUCUGGGACUCCCCCGCUCCCCCCAGGCUUCUGUGCAAUCACAGGCUCCCAGCGCCGAUCGCGGCCCCACCUCCCAGCUGGUACUCCCAGGCUGGGAGGUAGGCGGGACCACGAUCACCACCCUUGGCACAUCAGAAGCCUAACGGGGGUGGGGGGAGUGGCUCCUUUUUUGGGGGGAGGGGGCUUAACCAAAAUACCACGUGUCCAGUAUUUUGUGGGGGACCAUCUGGCAACCCGAUCAAUGAAGGAAAGUCCUUUGUGGCUAAACCGUCCAGCGAGUCGCCCACAGGGAAGUCACCGAGAAAGAUGCUCCCCUCUUAGAUUCCAUCCCUCGGACAAUCCUGUACAGCAGCACUGACUGGCUCUCCAGUCUCUCCAGGAGCACUGCGUUUGGGGAGGUAUCUGACUAUAAUCCAGUCCUGAUUCACUCUUAGGCCUUCUCUUGCAGAUAGAUUGCACCGGGCGUGUUAAGGGGAUUCUGUAUGCACAGGGACAGGCAUGCAUGGCCUGUCUCCAUCAUUCACCUCCUCACCUGGAGUCGCUGAGUCGGCAAGAGUUUCAAAUACACACGCUCCUGUUCAGCUGCUCCUUAGCGGGCUGGAGAGCAUUCUCCGACACCUGCGGUUCUCAAACUUUUGGGCCCACUCCGCUCAAAGCAGACCUUUCCGCAGACCACCAGCCAAUCAUCCGUGAUGACAAAAUGCGUGCAGCUGGGGGUGCCAGGAAGGAGGGUGCAGGACGGUGGCUGCAGCUUCUGUAAUGAAUAUGCCGGGCUGGAAUGAAAAGAGGCGUCACUCCAUUUUAUUCUACCCACUGAGUCUAAUUAGCAUCCGCCAACGUGGCCCUCGCACCGGCACUGAAGAGGAAUUCACCAGGACACCGCCACUCGUUCGGCUGGCUCGCGGUGCCGAACCCCUUACUGAAUUUACUCUUUAGAGCACCCAGGAUCCCUCCAUUCUGCAUUAAGUUUUUAAGACAUACAAAUCUCAAGGAAGAAAUGUAAAAUGUUCCAAGGCCUGCCUAGUCCCCUCUGAGGCUGAAGGUGUACAUUCUGAACAGAUUAUCUUGGAGAGUAUAUUUGAAGAGUAUUUUUACAUCGAGGCUUUGUUUAUUACUGUGAUAGAUCUUAUCCCGAAUGACGCCCCCUGUGUGUCUGCAUAAAUCUUGCUGCUUCCUGUGUCAAUGUUGAGUGAAGAAAAAGACUUGAUAUGCACAUGUUGAACAUAUUUUGAGUGCCUCAUGCAAAAAUCCCUAAACUUUACCACCCAUUAAAAAUUAU